GAUCGGUUUUGGGUUUUGAUUUAUUGAGACAGUUGUUUCAGUGGGACUGGUUCAAGGGUUGUUACUCUAGUUUCUCGUACUACUCGUAAUAAUAGCAAAUUUGUUGAUGCAUAAGUUAUAAGACUGACUUUUAUUUUUGGAGGAAAAUGGUUGGUGCUUGUUUGAGAUAGUUGGGAUGGUUUUGGACGAAAUUAAAGCGGAGAACACCACUAAAGUGUUUU
rnacentral:lncRNA from 1 species